AAACUUUCAACAACGGAUCUCUUGGUUCUGGCAUCGAUGAAGAACGCAGCAAAAUGCGAUAAGUAAUGUGAAUUGCAGAAUUCAGUGAAUCAUCGAAUCUUUGAACGCACAUUGCGCCCGCCAGUAUUCU
rnacentral:rRNA from 2 species